GGGGAUAGAGGUGUAACUUGUGCUCUAGUGAAAAUCUCAUCACUCAUUCUCAUCAAUCUUUGUACUUGAAUGCAGAACCUGUUGCCACAGAGGGACCAGUUGCUGAAGUUUGGUGACUCUGUUUACUCCUUGCAGUAUUUAGCCCUGAUGCUAACUAUUUAAAAUAGAAAAUCUGAAAUGGUGGCUAGCUAUUGACUUGAUUGCUGCAUAUCAGAAGACUAUCAUGGUGAUAUUGGCUCUGUGAGAUGACUUGGAAGCUGUUUCUUCAGUACAGGUCUUGUUUUUGCAGCUGGGGCACCUUGAUGAAGACUGUGCAACAGAACUUGCUGUGUUUCACAACCGGAGCAGAGAGAGUAUAUCAGCAUUAAUAUCAGAGGUACAGAAAAUAAUGAGAACAAUCUACCUACAAGGGGAAGAAGUUCUUCCAUGUUAGUCUGUGAUAUUUUCACAGUCCUUUAUCAGAGGACUUCUAAUGCCUUGAAGGUUCGUGGCAAGCGCAUCCACUUAAGAAUUCCAUCACAAGCGACAUGCCAGUACAACACAGCCAGCAAGCUGGGGAAGAAUCUCAACUGAACACUUCUUUUCAGUCUGAAAAGGCUGUGACAUCUGAAGAUGUGCCAGGUUGCUGCCAUGUGCCACAUGCGUUUGGAUCCAUGGAAUUUUCUGAUGGAACUUCAUUGUUUGAAGAAUCUCCGCUAGAAGAGUUUGUUCUAAAUACUCACAGAACAAAGCAGGUGUCUGAAGAUCCAGUGCUAGUUUCUGACAGAAAAAAUACAAUUCUUAAUCCAGAAAUCUGCUUCUCAGUGUGUAUAAUGCUUAUUACAUAUUUAAGUACCUAGUGGACCUUGACCAAAGGGAGAUACAGAUUGAGCAAAGAAGUAUGUUGAGCAUAAAUUGUGAUGCCUUCUACCUGAAAGCCAUGGUUCAUUUGAUGAGAACCUUAACUUCAGUGUUCGGUUUGCACUGAAACAGCGAGUAAGGAAACAAGCGAAGGAGUCAGUGAGGAUUUUAAAACAAAAUGGGAAGUGAUAAGGCACAGUUAAUAAGAUUUUGGAGUUAGGCAAGAGAUGGACAGAGCUUUAAGGGUACCGAUAGAAAUUCAAUCUCUCUGUAUUGGACAAGAAAACCCACAGUGAAGCAAUUCAAAUUUUGCAGCUAAAAAAGUGAUAAUUCAUAGCUAUGUUUAGAUAAGCUGGUGAGGAGUAAUCUUAAAUGUAGAAUUUAGAUGAACAGAUAGAAAAAUGGCACUUGACAAUCUAUAAGAAGUAAACUCAUUUUAGGGGAGAAUCAGAGGUACUGAAGAGUUUUUAACUACUUUGCUCAAUAGACAAGUAGUGUAUGAUGUUUUUAUAAGCAUCGUGUCUGACCUGCUUAGAUGUUAGAAUUUCCUUGACAGUGACUUCUCUGGAUGUGAUUGCAGUACCUGGCAGCAUUCAAGGUGUGAUACUCAGCUGGGUGAUAUGGAAUUCACAC